rnacentral:rRNA from 1 species
GUAGGUGGCAAGCGUUGUCCGGAAUUAUUGGGCGUAAAGCGCGCGCAGGCGGUUCGUUUAAGUCUGAUGUGAAAGCCCACGGGCUCAACCGUGGAGGGUCAUCGGAAACUGGAGAACUUGAGUACAGAAGAGGAAAGCGGAAUUCCACGUGUAGCGGUGAAAUGCGUAGAGAUGUGGAGGAACACCAGUGGCGAAGGCGGCUUUCUGGUCUGUAACUGACGCUGAGGCGCGAAAGCGUGGGGAGCAAACAGGAUUAGAUACCCUGGUAGUCCACGCCGUAAACGAUGAGUGCUAAGUGUUAGGGGGGUUUCCGCCCCUUAGUGCUGCAGCUAACGCAUUAAGCGCUCCGCCUGGGGAGUACGGCCGCAAAGGCUG